rnacentral:rRNA from 1 species
UACAGAGGGUGCAAGCGUUAAUCGGAAUUACUGGGCGUAAAGCGUGCGCAGGCGGUUCGUUGUGUCGGCGGUGAAAGCCCCGGGCUUAACCUGGGAAUGGCCGUUGAAACUGGCGAACUGGAGUGUGGCAGAGGGGGUGGAAUUCCGCGUGUAGCAGUGAAAUGCGUAGAGAUGCGGAGGAACACCGAUGGCGAAGGCAGCCCCCUGGGCUAACACUGACGCCUCAGGCACGAAAGCGUGGGGAGCAAACAGG